rnacentral:tRNA from 1 species
GCGGGAAUAGCUCAGUUGGUAGAGCACAACCUAAGGGAUUUAAAAUCCCUCGCUUUUCGAAGCGUGGCGGUUCAAGUCCGCCCUCGGGCACCA